rnacentral:sRNA from 1 species
GAAAUUCGGAGCAGCGCACUCCUCCUCCCAGCGCCCUCCGAUAGACUGACAACACUCCUCCUCCCAGUUGUCAGUCACCAACAUGACGCCCACCGAUCCUCCCCCGGUGGGCGUUUUGG